UUUAAUCCACACUUCUGCUAUGUUGCUUAUAGAAAAGAGAGAAAACUAGAGAAAUAUCCACACUUAAAGCUAUGUUUGCAACAGUGCACUAUUAUAUCUACAACAGGCUUCUUGAGAUUUGAGGAGAGAAAGACAAUGGAGAAAAGGUUAAAUUUAUGGUGAAAUAUAUACGCAAGCUUUUGAACUUGUUGAUUUUUUAUAUAUUGGCAUCUCAAUUAAGCAAUGUGUCUAUUGAAUCCUUGAAUUAUUUACAAAUUGUGUCAAUUAAAUACAAACGUUCGGCCUGACAUAUUGGCGUUCUCAUGAUUCUCAAGCACGUGAAAUCGUAAGGAAGCAUCUAAUAUGACACUUUCCAACGUGGUAUGUCGAUGUGGGCUCAAAGCUGAAAUUAAGAUCUCAUGAACACAAUUCAAUGCUGGACUCAGAUUCUUUCGCAAAACUUCAAAGUAAUACGAUGACGAAAUGCCUUCUCAAGCAAAUAGGGUGAUAUGGAGUUUAUUGAAAAACGUCAAAGUAUUUAAAGAAGAGAGAAAUCGAUCAAGAAAAUUAAGGGUGAUAUACAUUGAUGCAGUUAUGAUUUUGGCUACAUGAAAUUUCUUUCAGAAAUGUUCUUAAAUGAUUUUAAGGCUUACUUUGGGUUAGUUUACUGUAUGGAAUUGUUUUGAUUUGAUUUGACUUUUUUUUAAUUGUAAUUGAUUUGUUUUGUGACUUAAAUUGUGUACGAAGAAAUGAAGAUAAGUUGUGUAAUGAGUAUUAGUCUCCCUAUUUUUAGUGUACAAAUGAUUCACAUAGUGGUAACUAAUGAUUAAAAAGGUUACUGUUAAAUGAUUCACACAAUGGUAUCACACAGUGAUAACUAAUGAUUCAGAAAAGUUAAUAUGUAUGAGAGAGUAAAACAUCUUCAUACAAAAUGAAGUACCUUUCAAUUGAUAAAGUACAAGAGAAUGUAAAUCAUCCACAAAAAUAAUGUAAAGCAUAAGAUCAUAAGUAUAAUUAAUCAACACUUUUCACACAAAAUAGACUAUCUUUCAACUGCUCUAAUGAACUCCAAAUAUACAUAAGUAUCCACCAAAAGUAAACUUAAAACAAACCACUAAAAAUAGUUUAAAAUCUUUAAAUAUUCCAAUAAAAUAUAAAACAAUCACACAAUCAAUGAUUUUGCUACUGAAAUUACAAGGUAGUACUUAAACACAAUUUGAUUCAAUAAGUUCACAUAUCUCCUGGUGCACUAGAACUUCAAAUUUGGCUUCCUUGAUUGACUCAUACACUGCAAUUAUGUAGUUGUGACAGUAUUCUUUCCUUUUUACUUCAUUUCUCGAGGCUUAUCAGAAAUAUCAAUAUUUAUUGAAACUGUAUCUUUGUAAACACCUGAAGUGAAAACUCUUUUGCACCUAGUACCAGACUAUAUACAAUAAAGUAAAAUGAUAUUUAUCAAAGAAGAAUUAGGAAACAUAUGAAGUUGUAUGACAUACAUACAUUUAAAAUUUCAUUUUCACAUUUGAUUAGUGUAGAUGUCAAAUCCUAUUGUCUUGGGCCUCUUUGGUCUAUUUUUGA